UACGUAGGGUGCAAGCGUUAAUCGGAAUUACUGGGCGUAAAGCGUGCGCAGGCGGGUUUUUAAGUCUGUCGUGAAAUCCCCGGGCUUAACCUGGGAAUUGCGAUGGAGACUGCAAGGCUAGAAUCUGGCAGAGGGGGGUAGAAUUCCACGUGUAGCAGUGAAAUGCGUAGAUAUGCGGAGGAACACCGAUGGCGAAGGCAAUCCCCUGGGCCUGCACUGACGCUCAUGCACGAAAGCGUGGGGAGCAAACAGG
rnacentral:rRNA from 1 species